rnacentral:lncRNA from 1 species
UGGAAUUGAUUAGGUGCUAUCAUGACUCAUAAAUUGGGUCGUGACAAUUUAGUAUUAGAUCCUAGGCUAUACCGAUAUUAUUGGUACAAGAGAACGUGUCUAGUAGAGUCCUAUGGAUCGAAAUGAAGAUGGUCGUUUCCUAUCUUUGGGAAGAUAUGGGACAUUCUUAGGAGUUCUUCAUCUCUUUCACUUAUAUCAUUUUUAGAGUCUGA